rnacentral:sRNA from 1 species
AGCAGCCGCGGUAAUUCCAGCUCCAAUAGCGUAUAUUAAAGUUGUUGCAGUUAAAAAGCUCGUAGUUGAAUUUCGAGAUCAAAUUGUUGGUCGUGCCUCGGUACGCACUGGCAUUAUUGAUUUCUCCCUUCUGACGAUCCGCAAUGUCAUUAAUUUGGUGUCGCGGGGAAUCAGGACUGUUACUUUGAAAAAUUAGAGUGUUUAAAGCAGGCUCACGCUUGAAUACAUUAGCAUGGAAUAAUGAAAUAGGACGUUUGAUUCUAUUUUGUUGGUUUCUAGGAUCGACGUAAUGAUUAAUAGGGAUAGUUGGGGGCAUUAGUAUUCAAUUGUCAGAGGUGAAAUUCUUGGAUUUAUUGAAGACUAACUACUGCGUAAAGCAAUUUGCCUAAGGAUGUUUUCAUUAAUCAAGAACGAAAGUUAGGGGAUCGAAGACGAUCAGAUACCGUCGUAGUCUUAACCAUAAACCUA